CUCGGUUUGUGAUGUGAAAAUUGGUUUUCCAAGUACGGAGGCCCAGUGAGGACUUUGUUCGUGGCCUGAGUAAAGAACGUUACAUGUAAUUCGAAGUAGUGCACUGCAAAGUGCUGCUAUUCGUGAUACGAAGUAUUGCCUUGGGCAAGAGCUGAGUGAGUUAUGUCAGGAGCUCAACGAUGCGCACUUGUGUAGAGUGGAAACGAUCAAUAAAUUUAUAUGCCAUGUGGGAGAGAACAGCUUCUCCCCAGAGCAGGAAGUUGUCCAGACAUUGCCUGGAAAAUAGUAUUAUUAUAAUUAUUUUAAUACUAUUAUUCCACUACCAAAACUUCAGAGGCUAAACAACGGCAGCUGCCGCCUUGCUAGCAACACAAUGAAGCUGCCUCUUGCGGGGCAGGAUAGCUUCCAGUGCUCUCAAAUCAACUUGAAGGCCCUGGACGCGCGUGGUUUUGAUUGUGCCAAGCGACACCUGACUGUUCAGUGCCCAAGGUGUGCCGUAUGAAUGUCAGCACAAACGAUGCGUUGUCCUUGCGCGAGGCGAGUCGGGAACGUUCGCAGAUACAUGGCUAAGGCUGGACAUAGCUUCAAGUUAGUUCUCGGAUCGCUCUAGCCUGCAGAGUAUAGAAAGUGACAGCAACGUCUGUGGGAACUACAUGACUGUAGUUUACUCAACUCGUCUGCUGUGUGGUGGUAGCAGAUUUCGUGCCGGAAUGGUCCAUUGGACAGAGACAGUGCUUGCUAGGAGCUGGAAUUUAUCUUCAGUGACUUUGGUCGAGUUGGAGCAAUGGAGCAAUUCCCAAUAUCAGACGAAGAGAAGCAGGAAGAGUAUCUUGAUGACUCCGUGAAUGAUGUAGAUAGAGGGAGUUGUGGGAUACUCCUGAUCAUCGUUUCAAUCCUAUUCGUGCUGACCGGCGCGGCCAACACUGCCACCGGCGCCAUCACAGAGUCCAUGGCCUUGGUUGGAAUCGGCAUUGCCUUUCUAGUAGCCAGUAUUGUAAUGCUUGUGGCUGGCUGCUGCAUCAAGAAAACUGCAGGACACGGCGCGAGAAGAACAUCUCUGACCCAUAUCGCUUCCAGUAUGGCCUACCAAGACUGCUCCAAUUCCCCACAGGUGCUCGAUCCGGUGCACAUUAACGUAGCGCUGCAGAGGAAGCGCUUAUCGACAGUGAGUGAGCUCAAUGCUGAUUUACUUCCCACCAUCACCAACCCCUUGUACCUGACCGAGGAGAGAAACCUUGCAGAGAUGCCCCACGCCAGGGGUCCACAGCUGACCUAUCUACAACAGGCCAUACUUCCUAAAGUAGUAGGAACAGACAUUUCUCCGGCCAACAGCAGUAUUACUCCGUGCAUGAUUGCCGAACCUACAGUCGUACCGGGUACUGCUUGCGCCGUAUCCAGUACUCUUAGAACCCCCGAUGAACAUAGCACUAGAUGUGCCAGUCCCAGUCCAAGCGAAUCAGAGUUAUAGCAUCCUGACUUUCACUGUUUGCGAAUGAACUGAGAAUGUAAGCUCUACACCACACGAGUACACGUUGCAUUUACGGAGAGAAUAAAACUGACAAUUCCUAUUGCAACUCCUCAGCUUGAUCUUUAUCUUUGAUUCAUAAGAAAAUUUAAUUCGGAAGGUGAC